UACAGAGGGGGCAAGCGUUAUUCGGAACUAUUGGGCGUAAAGGGCGCGUAGGCGGCUUGGCAAGUGGAAGGUGAAAUCCCUCGGCUUAACCGAGGAACUGCCCUCCAAACUGCUUCGCUUGAGACCGGGAGAGGUGAGUGGAAUUCCCAGUGUAGCGGUGAAAUGCGUAGAUAUUGGGAGGAACACCAGUGGCGAAGGCGGCUCACUGGACCGGUACUGACGCUGAUGCGCGAAAGCGUGGGGAGCAAACGGG
rnacentral:rRNA from 1 species